GGCCUGUCGGUGGGUGAGGGGCUAGGGGAGGGAUAGCAGUAGGAGAAAUUCCUGAUGUAGAUGACAGGCUGAUGUGUGCAGCAAACCACCAUGGCACGUAUAUACCUACGUAACAAACCUGCACAUUCUGCACCUGUAGCCCAGAACUUGAAGAAUCCGAGAAGGAAGCCUGUGUGAAAGCCCUGUGAUGGGAAGGAAACUGGCAUUAACAAAGAACUGAAAGCAAGCAGCAUAGUGAAGAAAGCUGUGAGAUGAAGCUGGACCAUGAAGGUCAGGCUAGACCAUUGUGGGGGUUGGAAGCUGUGUUGAGAAAUUUCGUUUUGUUUUGUUUUGAAUUCUGAGAGCAAUAAGAAGCUGUCAAAGGGUUGUAAACAGGCACACACGAGAGAGUCCAGGGUAUUUUGAACUUUAUUCAGGGGACUCUUCGUAGUCACUAGAAAAUGUCGAAGUUUGAUUUGGUCACUACACUUGUUCCUAGAAAGAACCAUCGGCUCCACCAGUCGCCCAAAUUCACCUAUAAAAUCAAACACGAUGCCUGCUAAUGGCAUUCUGCAUACUUCAAUUAUGAUUCAUCAUUUGCUAUUUGCUAAAACAUUACACAAAUUGCACAAAGGAUAAAGUUGUUAUAGUCUAAUUUACAUUGGAACUUAUCUUCGUUUCUAGGCAACAUCAUUGCACUGGAUAAUGAUGGCUCCGACCUCCAGAAUCUUUCACAAUCUGGGAUCGCUCCCCAGCAGCCAGGACAAGUGAACCCAGUAGUAGGAGUGACAACAAGAAUCAAAGGAGAAUCUUCCCACAGCCCAUUUCUAAACAGGUAACAUCCCAUGUCAGCUGUGUAGUCCUUGGGGACCGCUUGUAAUAAAGAAUAGCCACUAACAUUGGCCAGUAACCUACCAUUUACAAAACACUCAUCACCACAUUUGAUGCUCGCAUUUACCUUGCAGAUUAUGGGUGAUGUUCACGCCCAUUUUACAGAGAGAUGGUAACUGAACCUCAGAGAAGUACAACCUCUUACCAGAUAUGCUGUGGUAAAACUUCAAAGAAAAUCCUGAAAUCUUCAAGAAAGAAGCAUAUAAACCUACAAAAAACAGGAAUCAGGUUCACUUUAAAGUCAUGAAGGAAAAUAACUUGGAGUGAAGAAUUCUAUACCCAGCUAAAUUAUUUUUCAAGUGUGUGGGUAAAAACAAUA